GCGAGCUGGAUGAGGGGAGACUUUCAUGUCCACUUCGGAGGGCGGGGAUAUCCCGACCCUGC
rnacentral:ncRNA from 1 species